GAUGAACGCUGGCGGCGUGCCUAAUACAUGCAAGUCGAGCGAACGGACGAGAAGCUUGCUUCUCUGAUGUUAGCGGCGGACGGGUGAGUAACACGUGGAUAACCUACCUAUAAGACUGGGAUAACUUCGGGAAACCGGAGCUAAUACCGGAUGAUAUUUUGAACCGCAUGGUUCAAAAGUGAAAGACGGUCUUGCUGUCACUUAUAGAUGGAUCCGCGCUGCAUUAGCUAGUUGGUAAGGUAACGGCUUACCAAGGCAACGAUGCAAAGCCGACCUGAGAGGGUGAUCGGCCACACUGGAACUGAGACACGGUCCAGACUCCUACGGGAGGCAGCAGUAGGGAAUCUUCCGCAAUGGGCGAAAGCCUGACGGAGCAACGCCGCGUGAGUGAUGAAGGUCUUCGGAUCGUAAAACUCUGUUAUUAGGGAAGAACAUAUGUGUAAGUAACUGUGCACAUCUUGACGGUACCUAACCAGAAAGCCACGGCUAACUACGUG
rnacentral:rRNA from 1 species